CCUCGAUCAUAUACAGCACUGCCGUCAUCACCAAAAGAGAGGCACCAAGGUCAGAAGUGGUGGAGGGGGGCAGCUCAUAAGAAACAGAGGGAUGCAGGUUUUGGUUCGUCUUGGAACGCAUUAGGGGCUCUGCUCAAGGAGUUGCUCCCACUCCCACAACGAUUCCGUGACCAACUCGCAGCCCUACAGCAAGAAGCACCACUAUUCCAGGUACGGGCUGAUCGAACAGAUCCCAGAUGCCAAGCAUCCCUAUGAUCGGUUUAAUCGAAAGAUGUUUCCAGGAAGGGAGAGCGCUGUGCGUGUAGUUGGAGGCUGCGUCCUUAAAGAUGUGUACACAUCGGCUCGCCACAUUGGUUUUCCAAGACAAGGCCUGGCAAGCAUUUUCUCUAGGCUCUUGUGUUCGUUUGCCCUUUUCAUGCGGUACAAGGCAGAGUGUAAGCACGAUGAGCAGGAACCAGAGUGGGGGGGAGUUCCUAACUCUGGUUACCUACUAACGACGUCACCUCCUCUGAGGAGGAACAGGCCGAGCUUGAUUGGCAUUCAGGCAUUCUAGCGUUCACAACCUCGAUCCUGGAUGUGUGUACACUAAGAUUGGGAAUUGAUGUGAAGCACCGCCAUCUGCGCACUAAGAUCUGGUACAGUGGAUGGCCACACCAAAGGCACUGCCAGCUUAGGGAAGCAAGCAAGACCUCCAACAUAUCUUCAUGUACGUACCAGUUUCUAGUUUUGUGUUUUGAAAUCAGUUUCUGUUUGUUUUCUGUAUGCCAUGGACAUGAGGGAAUGGCGAUAUGCCAUUUCUGAGAUCGAUGGAUAUGUGCAGGUCAAGGGAAACCAGCUGGUUGAAGCUUCUCUACAUUCGUUCCCUGACUCACCCAGAGAGCCGAUAUCGGAAGAGGCCUUCACCAAGCAGGAGGUUCGGGAUAAGUUUGCAGCCUGGAGAGCAUCCUUGUUAUCGAAGGACCUUACGAUUCCGGAUGGGUUGCACCUGUUGGCCGGUUGUACUACAGCUCCAAGGCUGAGCAGAAUUGACUACAAAGUCAGCAAAAGUCACGAGAGAGCGCAAAAUGAAAACCUCUAGAGAAAGCAUUAAGUCACCAAUAUGCACAAUGAAUGGACUUGGAAGGUGCUCUUGCAAAUGAUCACUUCCAGCCCAAAGAUCCGACUUGUGAUUGUAACUCCAUGGACAAUUUCAUUGUUGGGAACUUGGAUCAUUAUCACAGCCCUGCAAUCUUUUGAGACUGCCCAAAUGUUCUUUUGAGCAGCUUACAGCA